UACGAAGGGGGCUAGCGUUGUUCGGAAUUACUGGGCGUAAAGCGCACGUAGGCGGAAUGUUAAGUCAGGGGUGAAAUCCUGGAGCUCAACUCCAGAACUGCCUUUGAUACUGAGGAUCUUGAGUUCGGGAGAGGUGAGUGGAACUGCGAGUGUAGAGGUGAAAUUCGUAGAUAUUCGCAAGAACACCAGUGGCGAAGGCGGCUCACUGGCCCGAUACUGACGCUGAGGCACGAAAGCGUGGGGAGCAAACAGGG
rnacentral:rRNA from 1 species